rnacentral:rRNA from 1 species
CCUACGGGUGGCAGCAGUCGAGAAUCAUUCACAAUGGGGGAAACCCUGAUGGAGCGACGCCGCGUGGGGGAAUGAAGGUCUCCGGAUUGUAAACCCCUGUCAUGUGGGAGCAAAUUAAAAAGAUAGUACCACAAGAGGAAGAGACGGCUAACUCUGUGCCAGCAGCCGCGGUAAUACAGAGGUCUCAAGCGUUGUUCGGAAUCACUGGGCGUAAAGCGUGCGUAGGCUGUUUCGUAAGUCGUGUGUGAAAGGCGCGGGCUCAACCCGCGGACUGCACAUGAUACUGCGAGACUAGAGUAGUGGAGAGGGAACCGGAAUUCCCAGUGUAGCAGUGAAAUGCGUAGAUAUCGAGAGGAACACUCGUGGCGAAGGCGGGUUCCUGGACGUUAACUGACGCUGAGGCACGAAAGCCAGGGGAGCGAACAGGAUUAGAUACCCGGGUAGUC